CUCUAAGCCAGGAUUUUCUCAUCUGUAGAAUGGGUAGUUCUAAGAGCUUUGAUUAAGAUUAAAUGAGAUCAUAUAAGUGACAAGUUUAGCACAGUGCCUCACACAUGGUAGGUGCUGAAUAAACGUUAACUUAGGAUGAGUAAGAAGAGUUUCAAGGGAUGCCUUCAUCUGUGUCACUCCCUUGACAACCCUGGGAGAGCUCUAGGACAAGAGAUGUUUUAUCACAUAAAAUCUUAAGGCUUACCGGGAUAAAAAAAAAAGUAACAAAAGUAUAAUGGAGUUCCCGUUGUGGCUCAGCAGGUUAAGAGUCUUUGGUAAUAAAUGGGAAACAAUGAGGCUUUCCCCUCAGACGUGUGGUGGGGGCAAGAGAAAGGCUCAGGGAGAGGACAUCUGCUGUUGGAAGGCAGAAAAUCCCCUGGCAGGGAGCCCUAACCUGGGGCCUCAGCCCAGAACCAGCCCACAAGGUGUUUGGUGAGACUCCAGACAGUGUCUUCAAAUGAAGUGAGUACUGGUUCCAACCUGCUCAAGUUUCCUCAACCGAGGGUGUGUCAAACAGGAAAAACAAGACUACCUCUGCAAGUGUGAGGCACUGUGCUCACUUACUGGCCAGGCCACUCUAGGGAGUCGGAAGCUGUCAUCACUGAGGUGAUCUGUUGGGCUCCGAGUCAGAUGGGGUGACGGCAGAAGAGCAGCAGUGAUGGUUUGAAUUGGAAGCUUCUGCAGAAACUAACCACUGGUUGGGUAAAAUGAGAUGGGGAGUUCCCUGGUGGCCUAGCAGUUAAAGACUUGGCAUCAUCACUCUUGUGGCUCGGCAUUGAUCCAUGGCCUAGGAAUUUUUGCAUGCUAUGCAUACAGCAAGAAAAAAAAACAAAUGAUAAAACGAGAUGGGGUAUGAAGUUGAACAAGUAAAACUGGGAGGCUGGUGGCUGAGAGCCAUGCAGAAGUAUACUUUAGUGUGAAGUUCUGACUGUCCCAGAAAAAUGGUUGUAAAUAAUUAUCUGAGAGUUGGGGAGCAUGAACAGCAGCAGGACUGGCAGGAGUAUAAUCCCAGGCCCUCCCUUCUUCCCAGAGCCUCCGCUCUUGGCCAAGGUGCCCUUCUCUGGAGGGCCUCCAAAAUGAUUUAACUCGUUAUACCUAAUUUGAAAAUUAUUUCCCAAACUGCUCAAGGGUAUCAACUAAUAAGGGAUCUAGGGGUAGCCAUUAGGUCCUAUCACAUGCAGGGGCAAAUAUUCUCCUAUGGAAGCAUACAGUACAUUAUUCCUAAUUGAAUCUGGUAAGAGACUUCAAGCACAAUCUGCGGAUUAACUUGCUGAAGUGGCUAAACAAAGAUUCUUGGCGCCUAAGUGCUUGAGUCCUAAGAACAUUUCAAAGAUUCACAAGACUCGAGUCAAACCAGAAGUCUGGGUGAGGGGAACUGGGCUGCUCUGAAUUCUUGGCAGGACAGCUUCAGCUGUGAGUCUAAGAUCAGGUGAGCUGAGGCCAAGACUCAGGAACUGAAAAGGAGGGCCCCUGUUUGUUCUCCUUGAAAAAGUAGUUUUCUAUGGUUAAAACCAUUCCACGAGCAGUUGAGCAAAGGAAAGGGGUCCCUAAAACACCCCGAUCUUCUGAAAUUUCACAAGGGCUCUUUAAUCUACACAAUGCUGGAUCUUAGGCGAGCCCUUUGAAUCUGAUAAACUGUCUUUCGCUUAGUGGAAACAUUCUUACAUUAUUCUUGGGUAAUUUCCACCUUUACUAUUUUUUUAAACUCAUCAUUUGAACGCUCGAUCUCCUGGAGCACUCCCCCAGGUUCUUAUUUAUACACCAUUUUCCAUAACUGUUGUUUUCUUCGUUGUUGUUGUUUCACUUAUUGGGAAGUUUCUACCACUUUAUCUUCCAGAUCUCCUUUUAACAUAUAUAUUUAAAAAUUUCAGUUGUCAUAUCUUUAUUUUUCAAGAGUCAUGAAUGUUUCUUUUAAAAGCUAAAAAAAAAACAAGUGUCAAGAAAAUGUCAAAAAUCCUUGACAUUUUCCUUAUCUUAGAAGAAAAGCUUUUAGCUUUUCAUCAAUGGGCAUGACGUUAGCUGUGAUCUUGUCAUUAUAGCCUUUGUUGAGAAACAUUCCCUCCAUACCCACUUUGUUGAGUUUUUAUCAUAACUGGAUGUUGAAUUUUGUCAAAUGUUUAUUCUGCAUCUAUAGAGCUGAACAUAAGAUUUUUACCUUUCAUUUUCUUAAUGUGCUAUUACACAUUGAUUUGUGGAUGUUAAACUAUCCUUGGAUCCCUUGAAAUAAAUCCCACUUGCCGAAGGUGUAACAAUGUUUAAAAAAUUAAUAGGCAUUUUAUAAUGAUAAUAGGACUAAUUUGUUAGGAAAACAUAAUAAUUAUAAAUGUGUAUGCAUUUAGUAACAGAGCCUCAAGAUACACGAAAAAACAUGACAGAAUUAAGGAGAGAAAUGGUUCCACAAUUAUAUCAAGAGACUUUAGCACCCAUCAAUAUGUAAAUCAGAGAAAAAUGAGAUAAAACUUCAGUAUAGACACAGAAGAUGUGAACAAUACUACCAGUCACCACCUAAUUGACAUUUAUGAAACACAGUAACCAAUAACUGCAUAAUAUGUAUUCUCUUCAAGUGCAAAGAAUAUUUUCACAAAGAUAGACCAUAUAUGCUGGACAAUAAAAGAGAUCAAUACAUUUUAAAGGACUGAAAUAUGCAGAGUGUAUUUUCUGGCCACAAUGGAAUUAAAUAAAAAUCAAUAACAAUAUAGUAGCUAGGAAAACCCCAACUUUAUAGAAAUUAAACAUCCUCCUAAAUAAUUCAAGAGCUAAAGACAAAAAUCACAAGGGAAAUAAGGAAAUAUUUUGGGAUGGAUGAAAAUGAACUCAAGUAAAAUAGAUUUUAAAUGCACAUAUUAUAAAAGGAGAAAAAAUUAAAAAUAGCAUGACAAAGUACAGAAAUUGGUAGACUAGAAAUUGGAGAAAACAGAAAAUUAUCAAAGUUAAAAGCUGGAUUUUAAAAAGAGCAACAGAACUGACAGACCUAAAGCUAGAUUAUUUGAGAAAGAGAGAGAAUGCAAAUCACCAAUAUGAGGAUUAAAAAAGGGAUUAUCACCACAGAUCCUACAGGCAUUUAAGGAUAAAAAAAAUAUAUAAAAAACUUAACUAAGUUCAACUAUUUAGAAUGAAUGAAAAUUCUUUUCUUUUGUCUUUUUAGGACUGCACCUGUGGAUGUUCCCAGGCUAGGGGUCUAAUCGGAGUUAUAGCUGCCAGCCUACACCACAGCCACAGUAACUCGGGAUCCAAGCCAUGUCUGCAACCUCCACCGCAGCUCACAGCAACACCAGAUCCCUAGCCCACUGAGCAAGGUGAGUGAUCAAACCCAUAUCCUUGUGGAUACUAGUCAGGUUCAUUAACCACUGAGCUAUGAUGGGAACUCCCUGAAAAUUAUUAAAAAAUAAAAUUUACCAAAGUUGAUACAAAAAAGAAACAGAACAUCUGAAUGGUCCUUUAUCUAUAUAGAAAUUGCAUUUGUUAAAAAAAUCUUCCCAAAGUGCAGAUGAUUUUAACGUGAAUUCAAUAAAACAUUCAGAGAAGAAAAAAAAGUCAAGUUUACACAAAUAUUUUCAGAAUAUAGAGGAGAGAAGAUUGCCCAACUCAUUUUAUGAGGCCAGAAUAACCCUAAUACCAAAAUAUGAUAAAAAAAAAAACUUAGGAGAAAAAAAUUAAAGACCACUAUCCCUCAUGUGCACAAACAAAAAUUCUCAACAAAGUUUAGCAAAUCAAAUCUACCAAUAUUUUAAAAGAACACUAUAUCAUGGCCAAGCAGAUUUUAUCCCAGAAAGGCAAGGUUGGUUUAACAUUUAAAAGAAAACAAUGGAUGUAAUUCACUAUUAUUAUGUUAUUGGUAAAAUAAAGGAGAAAGACCAUUUCAAUAGAUGCAGAAAAAGUAUGUGUAAAAUUCAACACCUAUUCAUAAUUAAAGAAAGAAUAAAGGAAACUCAGUAUAACCUGGCAGGUAGAGAAUUUCCUUAAACUGAUAAAUAUCAUCUUAAAAAAAAAAAACCUGCAACUAAAAUUAAUGAUAAAAGACUGAAUUGUUUCCCCCUUAUGUUUGGGAACAAA
ensembl:lncRNA